UGUAGUCAUAUGCUUGUCUCAAAGAUUAAGCCAUGCAUGUCUAAGUAUAAGCAAUUAUACGGCGAAACUGCGAAUGGCUCAUUAUAUAAGUUAUCGUUUAUUUGAUAGUACCUUACUACUUGGAUAACCGUGGUAAUUCUAGAGCUAAUACAUGCUUAAAAUCCCGACUUCGGAAGGGAUGUAUUUAUUAGAUUAAAAACCAAUGCCCUUCGGGGCUCUCUGGUGAUUCAUGAUAACUUCUCGAAUCGCAUGGCCUUGCGCCGGCGAUGGUUCAUUCAAAUUUCUUCCCUAUCAACUUUCGAUGUUUGGGUAUUGGCCAAACAUGGUUGCAACGGGUAACGGAGGGUUAGGGCUCGACCCCGGAGAAGGAGCCUGAGAAACGGCUACUACAUCCAAGGAAGGCAGCAGGCGCGCAAAUUACCCAAUCCCGACUCGGGGAGGUAGUGACAAUAAAUACUGAUACAGGGUUCUUUUGGAUCUUGUAAUUGGAAUGAGUACAAUUUAAAUCCCUUAACGAGGAACAAUUGGAGGGCAAGUCUGGUGCCAGCAGCCGCGGUAAUUCCAGCUCCAAUAGCGUAUAUUAAAGUUGUUGUGGUUAAAAAGCUCGUAGUUGAACCUUGGGCCUGGCUGGCCGGUCCGCCUCACCGCGUGUACUGGUCCGGCCGGGCCUUUCCCUCUGUGGAACCCUAUGCCCUUCACUGGGUGUAGCGGGGAAACAGGACUUUUACUUUGAAAAAAUUAGAGUGCUCCAGGCAGGCCUUUGCUCGAAUACAUUAGCAUGGAAAUAAUAAAAUAGGACGUGUGGUUCUAUUUUGUUGUUUCUAGGACCGCCGUAAUGAUUAAUAGGGACAGUCGGGGGCAUCAGUAUUCAAUUUGUCAGAGUGAAAUUCUUGGAUUUAUUGAAGACUAACUACUGCGAAAGCAUUGCAAGAUGUUUUUCAAUAAUCAAGACGAAGUAGGGAUCGAAGACGAUCAGAUACGUCGUAGUCUACAUAAACCUAUGGCGACUAGAUCGCAGAUGUAAAAUUGACUCGUCGACUUACGGAAAUUCCAAGUGUCUUGUACU
rnacentral:rRNA from 1 species